rnacentral:lncRNA from 1 species
UCUUUUGGUACAUCGGAAAAUUAACAAAAGUGAAACAACAAAAGAAAGAAAACACGGGGACUAGCGCAUGGCUAGUCUAUCCUUCAACAGAAAAUACUCCAGCUCCGGAGGAGCAACAACAAUGUCCUUGACACCCGCGACUUGAGAGAAAGCACCAUGACGAGCAAGCCAAUCAGUAGGACGAUUACCUUCCCUAUUAAUCCAAUUCAGCGUACACUGCCAAU